AGUAAUGCUUGGGAAUCUGGCUUAUGGAGGGGGAUAACUACGGGAAACUGUAGCUAAUACCGCGUAGAAUCGGAAGAUGAAAGUGCGGGACCGCGAGGCCGCAUGCCAUGAGAUGAGCCCAAGUGGGAUUAGGUAGUUGGUGGGGUAAAGGCCUACCAAGCCUGCGAUCUCUAGCUGGUCUGAGAGGAUGGCCAGCCACACUGGAACUGAGACACGGUCCAG
rnacentral:rRNA from 1 species